UGCCGUAGAUACGCAGGCACCCCCCCAGGGUGUUAGAGGGAAUAGCGAAAUUGAGGUGUCCCUCCUCCGUGAGCUGGAGGAAAUGGGGUUCAAGCAGGUGGAUUUGAACAAGGAAAUCUUGAGGAAGAAUGAGUAUGACCUGGAGCAGUCUGUUGAUGAUCUCUGCGGUGUUGCUGAGUGGGAUCCUAUCCUCGAAGAGCUGGAGGAGAUGGUAGGUUAAUUUUAGAGGUCAAAGAAAAACUGGAAGUUUCCACUUCUCUUUUCACUCUUCUGUUGCUUGUGCAAGAGUUAUUCCAGGUUGACUAUGGGUACUUUUGUGAAUGCAGGGUUUCUCCGACAAAGAAAUGAACAAGAAGCUGCUUAAGAAGAACAAUGGAAGCAUCAAGCGUGUUGUCAUGGAUCUUAUUGCUGGAGAGCAGUAGGAGAGAUUUACUGUUUGUCCUACCUGGUGAAUGAAUAGUUUGGGUUAUGAAUAAUUUGCGGGAUGCAACAACAUGCUUUUGGUGUUCAUGAAAUGGGGUUCAAGCAGGUGGAUUUGAACAAGGAAAUCUUGAGGAAGAAUGAGUAUAACCUGGAGCAGUCUGUUGAUGAUCUCUGCGGUGUUGCUGAGUGGGAUCCUAUCCUCGAAGAGCUGGAGGAGAUGGUAGGUUAAUUUUAGAGGUCAAAGAAAAACUGGAAGUUUCAACUUCUCUAUUCACUCUUCUGUUGCUUGUGCAAGAAUUGUUCCAGGUUGACUAUGGUUUUUUUUUGUGAAUGCAGGGUUUCUCCGACAAAGAAAUGAACAAGAAGCUGCUUAAGAAGAACAACGGAAGCAUCAAACGUGUUGUCAUGGAUCUUAUUGCUGGAGAGCAGUAGGAGAGAUUUACUGUUUGUCCUACCUGGUGAUGGAUAGUUUGGGUUCUGAAUAAUUUGUGGGAUGCAACAAACAUGCUUUUGGUUACUUUUUGUCAGGUACAGUGGUUCGACAAACUCUUUUUAAGUUGUUACUUGAACUCGUUGUGUAAUAUAUAUGCUAUGGUAGUGGUCGUAUCUCGAAACACCUGAUAUUUAGUGCUUAAUGCAUAUGAAUGUAUUUCUUGGUAAUAGCAAGGGGCCAGAGAAAUUUAUCGUGCGCGAUGGGAGGUAAACAUUAAAAAAAUAUUAAUUAAAUUAAAUUAUGAUUGAACUUGUUGAUCCUGGUAGAUGGAAUUACUUUAAUAAAUUUAAAUUGUCAUUUUAUUUGUCAAAACGAUAUACCUAACA
rnacentral:lncRNA from 1 species